UACGUAGGGUGCAAGCGUUAAUCGGAAUUAAUGGGCGUAAAGCGUGCGCAGGCGGUUUUGUAAGUCUGACGUGAAAUCCCCGGGCUCAACCUGGGAAUUGCGUUGGAGACUGCAAGGCUAGAAUCUGGCAGAGGGGGGUAGAAUUCCACGUGUAGCAGUGAAAUGCGUAGAGAUGUGGAGGAACACCGAUGGCGAGGGCAGCCCCCUGGGUCAAGAUUGACGCGCAUGCACGAAAGCGUGGGGAGCAAACAGG
rnacentral:rRNA from 1 species